rnacentral:misc_RNA from 1 species
CAGAGGGCAGGGUGCUGGCUAACGGCCAGUCGAGGCGACUCGCAGGAAAGUGCCACAGAAAACAGACCGCCCGUUCCGCAAGGGGCGGGUAAGGGUGAAACGGUGCGGUAAGAGCGCACCGCGUCCGGGGUGACUCGGACGGCUCGGUAAACCCCACCUGGAGCAAGAGCCAAUAGGAGCGCGUCCCCGCCGUCCGGGGGACAGGGGUUGCCCGCCCCAUGCGUUCGGGUUGCUCGCUGAUGAGGCCCCUGGGCAACCAGGGCCCUAGAUGAAUGUUCAUCGCCCGUCCCGAAAGGGGCGGGA